rnacentral:rRNA from 1 species
UGAGUAGGCGGUUUAUUAAGUCUAGUGUAAAAUCUUAAAGCUUAACUUUAAAUGGUCAUUGGAAACUGGUAAACUUGAGUACAGUAGAGGAAAGUGGAAUUCCAAGUGGAGCGGUGGAAUGCGUAGAGAUUUGGAGGAACACCAGUGGCGAAGGCGGCUUUCUGGGCUGGUACUGACGCUGAGGCACGAAAGCGUGGGGAGCAAACAGGA